UACAGAGGGUGCGAGCGUUGUUCGGAAUUAUUGGGCGUAAAGGGCGCGUAGGCGGUGCGGUAAGUCACCUGUGAAAUCUCCUGGCUCAACUGGGAGCUUGCAGGCGAAACUGCCGUGCUGGAGUGUGGGAGAGGUGCGUGGAAUUCCUGGUGUAGCGGUGAAAUGCGUAGAUAUCUGGAGGAAUACCGGUGGCGAAGGCGGCAUCCUGGACCGACAUUGACGCUGAUGAGCGAAAGCUAGGGGAGCAAACGGG
rnacentral:rRNA from 1 species